GGACGAACGCUGGCGGCGUGCUUAACCCAUGCAAGUCGAACGGAAAGGCCCCGCUUUUGUGGGGUGCUCGAGUGGCGAACGGGUGAGUAACACGUGAGUAACCUGCCCUUGACUUUGGGAUAACUUCAGGAAACUGGGGCUAAUACCGGAUAGGAGCUCCUGCUGCAUGGUGGGGGUUGGAAAGUUUCGGCGGUUGGGGAUGGACUCGCGGCUUAUCAGCUUGUUGGUGGGGUAGUGGCUUACCAAGGCUUUGACGGGUAGCCGGCCUGAGAGGGUGACCGGCCACAUUGGGACUGAGAUACGGCCCAGACUCCUACGGGAGGCAGCAGUGGGGAAUAUUGCACAAUGGGCGGAAGCCUGAUGCAGCAACGCCGCGUGCGGGAUGACGGCCUUCGGGUUGUAAACCGCUUUCGCCUGUGACGAAGCGUGAGUGACGGUAAUGGGUAAAGAAGCACCGGCUAACUACGUG
rnacentral:rRNA from 1 species